ACCUUCUGACUUGCCACAUGUCAAAAUUUGGCUAGUGGAGCCACCUGUUCAAACAAGGCCCGAUUCCGUUUGAACAAGGUGAGUGUCAGAGAUAAUUUCUAAUAGUUCCACAUGUCAGUUUCUUGUCGAUGGAAAAUAUGCUCUGAUCUAACAAGUCCCCCACCCUAUUUGAGCGAGGCUCCUUCAAACUAGUUUAUACGGAGGGUGAUCGGAUAGAGAGAGUGGGGGAAAAAGAGAUUUCCUUCUCUGGCCAAGUUGUUCCACUUCCGACCCCCACCACCCCUCUCACCGUUAAGCCCACCUCCCCUGCAAGCCAUAACCACUUUCCUUUCACCGUGAAACUCUUCGACAUGCCAACGAGAGCUAGAAAUUUGGUGAGCCAACAUUUGCUCCUUUCAUCUGAUUCCGGCGAGCUACUUGUUGUGUGACCACGGGUUUCUACCAUUUUCAACCUUUUAGCUCAAAUUGAGCCACAUCGUGAGAUACAAAGGAUUUAGUUUUUAGGUCGAAACUUUGUAGUAAGUUUUCGACCACCACUGGUCGUAUUUCAGAGAGGCAUCCGGGUGCAUUGUGGAACAAAUCCCAUGGAGGAGCUGGAGUGAUUGGCAUUUUUCAACGAGUAUUAUAUUUCAAAUUAUGUUUUUGGGGUAUUUGGAUUGUUGAUUUUAUGUGAUGUUUAAAUUAAUAAGGAUAUAUAAAUUAAUAUACAUAUAUAUAUAUAUAUAUAUAUAUAUAUAGAUUUUUGAGAGAUUAA